AGAACGAACGCUGGCGGCAUGCCUAAUACAUGCAAGUCGAACGAACUCUUCGGAGUUAGUGGCGCACGGGUGCGUAACGCGUGGGAAUCUGCCCCUUGGUUCGGAAUAACAGUUGGAAACGACUGCUAAUACCGGAUGAUGACGAAAGUCCAAAGAUUUAUCGCCGAGGGAUGAGCCCGCGUAGGAUUAGCUAGUUGGUGAGGUAAAGGCUCACCAAGGCAACGAUCCUUAGCUGGUCUGAGAGGAUGAUCAGCCACACUGGGACUGAGACACGGCCCAGACUCCUACGGGAGGCAGCAGUAGGGAAUAUUGGACAAUGGGCAAAG
rnacentral:rRNA from 1 species